UCCAAGCCCCCAAUCCCCAUAAAACUCUAGCUCCCUUUCUUCAACCCUAAUUGCUAGUCAAUCACUAAUAUACACCUUGCUAUAAAAAUCAAUAUGAAAUUAAUUCACUAACCCAAAAAUCCUCUUCCACUUGCAAAUAAUUCAUUGGUUGAAUACUCCUUCAUUUAAUGUUCCUUCCUUUCUUCAUAUACCUAUCAUCUUCACAAUCCUAAUCUUUCUAUCUUAAUUUCUCACAACCGUAUUUUCUUCUCCUUCUUCUUCCUCAUUAAUUUCUCAAAGACAUGCAAAUAUUUCAUGUGUCCAAACUCUAAUCUUUCUCCCUAACAUCUCACAAUUGUAUCUUCUUCUCCUUCUCCCUUAUUAAUUGCUCAAAAGACAUGCAAAUAUUCCAUGUGUCCAACAUGCAAAUAUUCCAUGUUUCUCUAUAAAUACCAACAAUCAUCAUUUAUCUUGCCAAAAAAAUGGCUCUCUCAGGUGAACAUACAUACUAGCAUUUUUUUUUAACUACAUAUCUUGCUUUUUUAUUAUUAGUCUUGCUCAUGUUUUUUGGUCUUACCAUUUGUAUGUAUAGGAAUUUGUAUGAUUGUGAUAACUUUGCAGUGGUUUCUCCAUGACAUUAUAAAAGUACUAUCUGGAUUGUAAGUGACUUCUUUUUAUCAGUUUUCAUGUACUAUAGUUGUCAAUAUAAUUGUUGUUUUCUGUUCAUUUAAAUUUAGAAGACUCGAAAAAAAGUUCUUUUAAAGCUUCAUAUUUAUAUAUUUUAUCACAAAUUUGCUUACUAGAUUGUGAGGUUUGUUGUUAAUCUCAUUGUAAGUGUCACUCUUGGAUUGUCAGCUCUUAAUGUUAUUGGAGACAAGAAAUUGAAGCUCAAAUUUGGAGGUGAGAGUCUUCUCAUAUUAAUCUUAUUUCAAUUUAUUGUUCUUUUCUUUGUUAAUUAGGAAAUUAUGGAUCCUUAUUAGGAAACUUUUUCUUAUUUAGGUGUGGCAUUAGGAGACAUUUGGAUCUCACAGAAGAUUUUAUGGUGCGUAACAUAAAUUGUUUUAUGUUUUGUUUUUUUUUUUAUUAUUAUUAUUAUUUUGAAGAUUGCAAUGAUUAUUAAUAGUAUUUUUGCACUUAUGCAUCAAACUCACAUAUACUACCAUAUUUUUCUUAGAGGAAGAUGGAAUUGGAAAUAAACAUGAAUAAUGAAGCAUCCUUUGUGGACUCCACAGAAUUGUUGUUAUUCAUGUGUUAGAUAAUUUUGUUAUUCAUCUCUCUCUCAUGCAUUCUUACUAUUUGAUUAAAGGUAUAGUUUCUAUAGUUAGUAUCAAUUUUAAUUAAUUGAUUUAACUUCUAAUGCAAAUUAGAUUAAUAAUAUUUUAAGAUAAUUAUAUUUUAUAUUGGGCAUAUGUAUGGACUGCAGCAGGAUGGACGUGUACUGCUAUAUAACUAAAUGAAAAUAGACUUUUUUUUAGUUGAAAAUAGACUAUGUUGUCUCCAUAUUUUUCGUGUUAUUUUGAGCAAUUUUGGAUGUGUCACAGAGGUAAAUCUAAAGGUGUCGGAAAUUGUUGACUAAAAAUGAAGCAUGCAUGGAUCAUUGUAACUGAUAUUGAGAUACUAACUGUGUUUGCUGCAUUUUGAUUUUACUGACAUUACAAAUAAUUCUCAAUAAGAUGCAGAAUCUGAGUUUCUUACUCCAAAAAGUUGCUUGCGAACUCUAUUGAUACUGUUGAGAAGGCUCUUGCAUAAGGAUUUGUGAAACUUUCUCACAUUGAUGUCUAUGAGGUGAAGUAAAAAUUAGAAAAUUCUUCAAGCAUAGUUGAAGUUAAAGAGGGUUUUCAUCUGACAUUAGAAGUAGUGAUUUAGAGGUGAGGUAGAAAGAAAAUUUGGAUGAAAUUGAAUAGUGAUUUCCUUAUUCUUUCGAAUUUAUUGGUUUUGGAAUUCUUGAUGAUACUUUCUUUGAUAGGAUAUAUGGCUCUAUUAUUCAAAAGCGAGUUUUGCAAAUUAAUCGACUCACUUUUUUGUCAAAAUCAUAUGUGAUCAUAGUGAUUUUGAAUCAAUUGUAGACACAUGGAAUGUAUGUGACUCGUGUUAUCAAAGAAGACAUAUUAGUGAACUUUUGUUUGAAUUGUGAAACUGGGUGAUGAUUUAUUUGGAGUGGUAGCAUAGUAAAUGAUCAUUCAAGAGCAUUUUACUUGAAUUGUGAAACCGAAUGAUGAUUUGUUUGGAAUAGUAGUGUGAUCUCUUUCAAGAGCAUGUUUGAUUUGUGAGUAUAAGAUGUGAUUUAAACUAAG
rnacentral:lncRNA from 1 species